CCUACGGGAGGCAGCAGUGGGGAAUAUUGCACAAUGGGGGAAACCCUGAUGCAGCGACGCCGCGUGAGUGAAGAAGUAAUUCGUUAUGUAAAGCUCUAUCAGCAGGGAAGAAAAUGACGGUACCUGAGUAAGAAGCCCCGGCUCACUACGUGCCAGCAGCCGCGGUAAUACGUAGGGGGCAAGCGUUAUCCGGAUUUACUGGUUGUAAAGGGAGCGUAGACGGCAGUGCAAGGCUGGAGUGAAAGGCGGGGGCUCAACCCCCGGACUGCUCUGGAAACUGUACGGCUGGAGGGCAGGAGAGGUAAGUGGAAUGGCUAGUGUAGAGGUGAAAGGCGGAGAUAGUAGGAGGAACACCAGUGGCGAAGGCGGAUUAAUGGACUGUAAAUGACGUUGAGGCUCGAAAGCGGGGGGAGCAAACAGGAUUAGAUACCCUGGUAGUC
rnacentral:rRNA from 1 species